rnacentral:tRNA from 1 species
GUCAGAAUGGCCGAGUGGUCUAAGGCGCCAGACUCAAGAUGAUUCAAUCUUCUCUGGAAAUGAGAUCCCACUUCUGACA